UCUCCUCUCUCGCUCCUCAGCAAUUCAUAGGCCACGCCAGGCUGCCCAUCUCAUCCGGGUCCUUCGGUGGCGCAGCCGCAGUACGGCCUAGUGGGAGUGGCGGGCAGAGAGGAGGCCCCAGGCAGAGACGCUUAGUUUGGCAGCCGCGAGGAGGGUGGCGGUGGAAGGGCCUCAGGCUCCUGGGGGCUGAGGCUGUGACUGCUAAACAACACUCUCAGCCACCAACCUCAAGGAACCCACAAAACUAUUAACACCACUAGAACUGGUCUGUCCGCCUAGGGUUAUUGAUUUUUUUGGAUAGUGAAUCCAUUGGUGAAGUUGACCCAGCUCAGGAGCCCAGAUGAGAGAGCUACAACAAAGCCAAAAGACCAUUUUCGUGGUUUUGACUGACAAUAUCUGUUAUAUUAUAAUGACCUGACUUGCACUGACUGGAAACAUUGGAGUCUUUCCGCCUCAAAUCUUUUGCAGGUACAAACAGUACUGAAAGUGGGAUGGUGUCUAAUCAACAGAUAAGAGUGGGAUGGGGUGGCUGUCCAUCAACAGAUAGGGUGUCAUCACCUACUGAUGGCAACCUAAGCCAAAGCUCUGGACAAGCUGGGCGAGGGGGCGCAUAAAGAUGUUAAAAAGCAUUGG